rnacentral:lncRNA from 1 species
CAGAGGAGGUGGCUCUUGAGCUGAUCCUUAAAAGAAUCCAAAGAUUCCAAAAGGCACAAAUGGAGGGAAUGAACUAUGUAGUCACAGGAAAUAAAUAGGUCUCAGUUUUCAGAAGAUGGAAAUGACAAGUUGAAUUCAGAAAACAGCUAGUGGUAGGAUUGGAGGAGUAUAAAAUCAAUGGUAAGAAAAUGAAUAAAUUCUAGAUAAGUCUCUGACAAUUGCUGUGUCACUUUGGGAAGGCUGUUUUCCCCUAGUUUUCUUUUAUAUAAAAUGAAAUUCAUCAUCUUUUUUCUUCCUUCCUCAUCAGGCUGUCAUGAACCUGGCAAGAUCAGAAUGCUUCCCUCAAUUAAAUCAUGGGGAGUCAUGAACAUGGAAAGACAGAUUGGAAUCAGAUUGUGGAAGGCCUUGUGUACCAAAAUGAGGAGUUUAUAGUUUAUCCCAAAGUCUUUUCAGGCCCAGGAAAAAUCUGGGUAGUGAAAAAACAAAACAAAACAAAAACCAAAACCUGAAAAUUGGAUCCAGAAGAUGUGGAUCUAUUCAACUCCUACCUGCUGCUUCCUGGCUAUUCACCUAGCAUGACUCCUCACCUUGCUCAGCCUCAGUUGCCUCCUCUAGAGGGAACAGUAAUUCUUGUGCUCCCUAUCUCAAGAGCACUGUGAUGGUGUUAUUGUUAUUAAAAUAUGCAUAUGAUAAUAUCCCAUGAGCCUCUGCUUAUAUUUCCUAGGCCUAAAAUGCCCCUCCCUCCUGUCUCUGGCCAUUGAUAUUCUACCCAUCCUUCAAGGCCCAGCUCUAAUACCAGCUCUCCAGAAGGGCUUCCAGAAUUUCCUCAGCUGGAGGACGGGAAAGUAUGCUAAGCUUGACAUCAAGACAUCUGGAUUCAAGUGCAGGCCUUGGCACUUAUGACCUGGUGGAAUCUUGGG